ensembl:lncRNA
GAUGGACAAGAGCGAACCGCUAGUCUGAGCUCCUUAUCUUUAACUUUACAGUGGUAUUAUCUAUGUCUAGCCUAUAGGACGAGACUUAAACGAAUAUCAGUUGUCGGGCAGAUAAUUAGGACAUCAGUGACUGAGUUCUUGUACAGUUUAAUGAGUUUAAAGAAUGUGAGUAGCCUACCUCGUGACGCCUAGCCUGGGCACCAUUUUAGCUCGUAGUGCUCGAGCCAGAUGCAGUCACCAUGGUCCUCGGUGCACGGGACGUAUCCGACUUUGCUGAGUUGCUGAGACAGAGGAGGAUCUCUUUGCCGCUCGUUAAGACAAAGACAGAUGGAGAGAACGCAGUGACGCUAGCUCAAACAGGUCGACACGAGAAACGGGGAUCCACGCACGCUUCCACACACCUGACUCCCCACUCUCUUCCCUUCCAACGCCUCAAGAAUGGCGCUUAGAGCUCAUCGGCACGUGAUGGUGACCUUGUCCCUGCCGACGACCCUACAAUGACCUCUAGCGACCUGGCUCGGGAUGAUGAGGUGCUGGCUAUGGAGCCCCUGCUAAAGCCACGGCCAAAGCUCCUGAGCCAACGUUUUCAGACAGAUCACUGUAAGAGACAGUUCACUACACACUGUACAGUAAUGGCUCUCUUUCUGAAAGACAAAGGUUUAAAAAACGUGUUGAUUGCAGCAAAAGAAACACCUCACAGAGCACCAGAGCUUCAGACUCUCCGAUACCUGACCGUCAUGUUCAUCGAGCUCACACAGCUGGACAACAUCUCACACCUGGUGAGGAGGAGGAGGAGG